UUUUGAAAGAAAAAGUGUUUGAGUACUCUUGCUUUCCUUAUGGCUUGCUAAACAUUUGCUUGCCACAAAAUAAGGAAAAACACUUGCUGAGAGUGAUAGCAUCCAGAAAGAAAGACUUGAGAUCGUAUACAUGAUUUAACAUAAAGAAGAAGAGGAGAGCCACCAUGGGAAGCCGCAAAGAACAGUCACAAAUAACCCCCUGUAGUCCAACUAUUUUCUAUUUUUAUUAUGCAAUGGUCGUGGAUAACCCCCAUCGGCUACUCUUCUUCCUUUUCUCUUUAUUGUUAAUUGUUGCUUUCUAUGUUGAAAGACAUGUUUGCAUCUCAUAUUUAUGUUUUCAAUUUCAUAAUGCAUGACUUAAUUUUUUUUAUUUAGAA
rnacentral:lncRNA from 1 species